UGCUGCUGUAUCAACAUCAAUUGAUUCAACAGAAGCCUCUAUCUCCUGAGAAUGAGAGGACUGAAGACCUUACAGUGGUGCAAGAAAGUUUCACUCCAAGGGGAAUUGGUUCUCUGCCUAGGAUGUUCAGUGGAAUCAUCUGGAGAGGAUUUCCUUGAACAUCAGACACGGGUGUUGACUGAAGCACCGCCCUUCGAGGACUCAUGCCAGCUCACAGUGUCUAUCCACAAGGCCAGUCCAUCAAUGAGAGAUCAUUCAAUUACAAGAGACAGAACUCAACUCAUUUAA
rnacentral:lncRNA from 1 species